GGAUUUACAGCUUUUGCUGUGUGAGUUCUGCUGGCUCUUUGCUUCUUUUCCUGCUUCGUUCUUGGACAGAGCGGUGCUGCAGUGGCACAGCUGCCCAUGGAAAUGGUGGGGUCCCCAUUCCUGGAGGCGCCCCAGAGCCGUGGAGAUGUGGCACGUGGGGACGUGGGCGGUGGGCGCGGUCGGGUGGGUUGGCCUUGGGGAGCGUGGAGGGCUUUUCCAACCUUAACGAUUCCGUGAUUCGGUGAUCUCUUGCUGGUUCCACUGCUGUGAGGCACGCAGUGCGUUUCCACAGGCCAUGAACUGCGGUGCAGGAAGAAGUGCUGUGAAGCGUUGCUCCGUGCAGUGCUUCUCUUCAGCCUGGUGUUCCUCUUCCGUGCAGUCAUUCUGCAUGGCAGCCUCCAUGGAUUUGUGAGCUGUUUCUUUCAGAUACACCAAAUCCACGUUCUGUGGCGUUUGUCCCCAGCACCAGAAUGAGGUGGUAACUGCCCUGGGGAGCUCUGCUCCACGCCACGGCUUUUCUGGUUUGCCUACGAAAGCUUUGUUCUGUUGCGUACCAAUGUGAGGGCAGAUGGAGUCAGACCUUGGAAGAAGAAGCAGGAGAAGGCCUGGGCAGAGUUGGAGAAGACACGGGAGAAGAGCCGAACGGAGACGUGCCUGCAUGCAGGCCUGUGAAGGACUUCUGAAACGGGCGCUGGCCCCCGGGGGCAUUUGUGUUGAGUACUGCUUUCCCCCCAGAAGCAGUGGUAUUUCUGAACCUGAAUUCAGGAGCCCCUGUCUGCAGACGCGCUGCUCCUGCCUGGGUUUGAUCGGGCUGCUGGCUGCCCCUGCUUUGGUUUGUGUGACAGGAAUGGCGGUGAGGUGCUGCUGGCUGUUACCCCGUGUGAGUGCUGGGGCUGCUCCCUGUGCACGGUGCGGCCACGGGGAUGCGGCCGCAGCGUUUGUGCUGAAGCUCUCAGAGCUCAGGCACCCUUCAUCUUGCCGGGCGUUCUCCGGCAGUGCUGAGCAAGCUGCAGGGCUCUGCUCCGACUCUGACACACCAGCUUGUUAGGCUUUCACCUGGCUCAGCAGAAAAAGGCGCUUUUUCUUCCUUCCCAUUUCUCACAGCAGCUGAAUUUGCCGAUUUUGUUGUUCUUGGAGGGCAGCUCUAAUAUUUUGUCCUGUCUCAAGCACAAGGUGACCUCAACUUUGCAGACUUCACUUGAAAUGAAUGUGCCUUUACGUUUUCCUCCUGGGUUGCACGUUGCGUAAGGAUGGCUCAGUUGCACUGGAAGGCGUGUGUGCGAAGAACGCACGGAAGACUGCAUGACCAGAGGUGGAGAGCAGCGGAGUGGAAUUGAGAGGAGAGGUGGAAGGAAGGUUCACGGGGCGUACGUGCUGCAUUUGUGCCGUGAGUUGGCGUUUUGCAUGGGUGUGCACAGACCGCAGUGAGCUCAGAGCACCCGCAUACAGCAGGAAUUGGGCACCCAGCAGCACAGGGCUGUCCUGGCUCUCCCUGCUCGUGAGGGGAUUUAUUUGCAGCCUGCUGUGCACCGUUGGGUCCCGAGGCACUUCUCCCCGUGCUUCCUUCCCACUUCCCAGCACCCAGCCCUGUCCCGGUGCAGGAUGCUGGAGGAUGUCAUCACGGCUGCUGGUCUGCAGGCAGGUGGUGGUUCUUCCUACAGAAUCUCUCUUUUGCAUUAGGAAGGGGGAGGCUGCUGUUUGUCUUAAAGAAUGAUGAAUUAAGAAAGCAUCCUCUGAGAGACUGACAGUGUUUAGCGUGGGCCCUCCUUAUUCUUUGGGACAAGAAGUUUCUUUGGUCUUUUGGAUGUUUUUACUGUAAGCUUUCUUUGGGUAAAAAUGUUAGUAACAUAAUUUCAAAAAACACUCUGAUUCCCAUGCAUUCGAACUUCCAUAAGCCUUUUCUGGCUUGUCAUAUUCAAAGGGAGAACAGUAAUCGUGUCAUUGAAGGUGGGAAUUCACCCACGGAACGCCUUUGUAAGAGUGAGGCGUGUUGGGGUGUUGCACCCCUCGGGACGUGGUGAGGCAGGGUGCUGCUGCGAGCUGUUUGCAGACUACUGCUGGCACUGGGAGGCGAUGAUCAUUGGCUUGUUGGGUCAGUGGGGCUUUUUUUAGAGCUGGUAAUAAUUCGCCAGGGAGGUGGGACAUCCUCACUGAAUCACGUUGGAGUACUCACUUGAGCUGAGAGAAAGCAGAGCGUGGCUCAGGAGUUCUUGCCUGCAAGCCGUUGGGAUUUGUCUCAGGGAAGAACUGUGCAAAACUGCCUUUCUCUGCACGGCGUUGGUUCCUGCGUGUCAUCAGUGCUCCACCUCCUGCAUGUCUCCCCUUGUAAAUGACCACAGUGCUGAUCCCUGCCAGGUGGCACCGGGUUUGGGGUGUUGGGCAAAGUGGGCUCUUGGAGGUGCUCUCAGCUUCGGUGCUGCGCAGUCACAGGGUUAUGGAAUCAUAAUCAUAGAAUGGCCUGGGUUGAAAAGGACCACAAGGAUCAUCUCGUUCCAACCCCCUGCUAUGUGCAGGGUCGCCAACCACCAGCCCAGGCUGCCCAGAGCCACAUUCAGCCUGGCCUUGAAUGCCUCCAGGGAUGGGGCAUCCACAGCCUCCUUGGGCAACCUGUUCAGUGCAUCAGCACCGCUAGGGAUGGUGUGCUGGGAGCUGCGGUGAGGAUCGGGGCUGUGGGGUUUGGGAGCGGCUCCGUACACAAAGCGGCAGACACUGCUUCGAUCUGAUCGCUGUCAGCCCCGUUCUGACUGAUGCUGUUACACACCCGUGUUGUGCCGUGUGACAGCAGAUUGACACCGUGCACUUUUUCUUAUAGUGAAACGUGUAACAACGCGCCCCGAGCGUAUGUUCCUCAUUGAAAGAGGCGUGGAUGGAUUUCUGGACAAAAAAGGCCCCGUGUGUCACUUGGGCUCCCUGUGAUGCAGCAAACGUUUGCUUGUGCUGUUCUGUAAAGCCACUGCAAAGCUUUGUUUGUUCGCCAGCUCCCAAAACCCGAGUCACUUUGGAGGGUCCUCCCCAGGCUGCAGCUCCAUGUGCUCAGGUCAGUGCUGCUCAGCCGUCGGGCCGCAGUUCUGCAGCAUCAGUAGUGCCACAGCUCUCAGCUGCCUCAUCUCUGGCAUUGCAAAGUCUUACAGACGUUGUUCUGCGGUGCUGCAGUGUGCACUGAGGUGCGUUGUCUGUGUGCCCACUGCCUGUGGUUGCUGAAGGUCCCAGCUGUGCCGUAUCCCUGCUGCUCCAUGGCCGAAGCGUCACUCUGCUCAGGAGAGGCUCUGGAGAUGUGAGGUGUCCCCGAGUCCCAGCACCGCCAGGCACAGCCAGCUCCACGGGAGCCCUUCUACCCACCAACCAUGGGUGCUGACCAACGUCUCCAUCGGCUUACCCAUCCCUGUUCUCCUCAUCAAAUGCCAGGGCAGAGCAGGAAGCAGCACGGUGCUUUGCUGGGUGAUGUCAGGGCUCCGUAGGCCCUCGUGGGCUGCCCGUUCUGUCCCAGGCCUUGGGUUCCUGCCCUUCUUGCUACUGGUCAGCUGCUGGGACACUGCUGUGGGCGUUAUUUGGACUGAGGAGUGUUUUGAAAGGCUCUAAUCAUCCGACUGGCUUUUGCUGUGCGAAUGAGAGCAGCGUUAUGAAAGACUGCAGAUGAUUGAGUGGAGAUCCCAACUGCACAAAGGGAUCAAACCCGGCUCGGGAGCUUGGGGCCCGGCAUGGGGUGCUGGGGCCAGGUGUGGGGCUCUGGUUCUGGUUACCGAGCACUGCGGCCAGGUGCAGGAUGUUGGGAUCAGGUGCAGGGCACUGGGUCUGGGUAUGGGGCACUGGGACCACUUAUGGGGCGUGGGUCAGUUAUGGGUCAGGCACAGGGGCCUGGGCUGGGCGCUGCUCCUUGGCCAGCAGCGGUGGGGAGCAUCAGGAGGUGGUGUGGGACACCCGUUUUUAUUUGUGCACGUAGUUGUGCACCAGCACACUGAUGCUGUGCAUCACAUACAGGCACGCCUUGCUGCUGCUCUUCGCAGCUGUGGAACUGUGAGAGUGGUCACUUCAAAGGCGCUCUUUCCACCCCUGAGCCGUUGAGCAGAAGCUCUGUAUGAGAGAGUCACAAAGAGAGCAGACUGCUCAGCGGAGGAGGAAUCCCUCUUUCCUUCAGAUUUUUGGUUCCGUUGAAUCACUUUUUAUCAUUUCUUCCUGAACACCAGAAAAUGAAAUACUCUCAUUAUGCUGAAGCUU
ensembl:lncRNA